rnacentral:sRNA from 1 species
AUCCCUAUGAUAGAAUAAUAGAAGUAGAAAAGUUAUGACGGUGGCGACUUCUGAAAGGUGGUGGUGCUUAUGAAAAUAAGGACUAAAACUAGGAAAGGAGAUAGCCUUUUGUCCAUGUAUGAAAAGUUGCAGCUUGUUCUAGGUAUAGGAAUGUUUAUUCUUGCCUUGACGAAGCUAGU